rnacentral:rRNA from 1 species
AUUGAACGCUGGCGGCAGGCCUAACACAUGCAAGUCGAGCGGAGCGGCGGACGGGUGAGUAAUGCCUAGGAAUCUGCCUGGUCGUGGGGGAUAACGUCCGGAAACGGGCGCUAAUACCGCAUACUAUCAGAUGAGCCUGGUUCGGAUUAGCUAGUGGGUGGGGUAAAGGCAUACCAAGGCGACGAUCCGUAACUGGUCUGAGAGGAGUAUCAGUCAAACUGUAACUGAGACACGGUCCAGACACCGAAGGGAGGCAGCAGGGGGGAAGAUUGGACAUUGGGCGAAAGCCUGAUCCAGCCAUGCCGCGUGUGUGAAGAAGGUCUUCGGAUUGUAAAGCACUUUAAGUUGGGAGGCGUUACCAACAGAAUAAGCACCGGCUAACUUCGUGCCAGCAGCCGCGGUAAUAC